rnacentral:rRNA from 1 species
AACGCGAAAGAGGUCUUCGGACCUCUCUAGAGUGGCGCACGGGUGAGUAACGCGUAGAUAAUCUACCCCCAUAUUUGGGAUAACAGCUCGAAAGGGCUGCUAAUACCGGAUACACUUAUUUGAACGCGAGUUUGAGUGAGGAAAGGUGACCUCUCCAUGGAAGUUACUGUAUAGGGAUGAGUCUGCGUACCAUUAGCUAGUAGGUAGGGUAAAGGCCUACCUAGGCUACGAUGGUUAGCGGGUCUGAGAGGAUGAUCCGCCACACUGGAACUGGAACACGGACCAGACUCCUACGGGAGGCAGCAGUGAGGAAUAUUGCGCAAUGGGGGAAACCCUGACGCAGCGACGCCGCGUGGGUGAAGAAGGCCUUCGGGUUGUAAAGCCCUGUCAGGUGGGAAGAAGUGCAUCAUGGCUAAUAUCCAUGGUGUUUGACGGUACCACCAAAGGAAGCACCGGCUAACUCCGUGCCAGCAGCCGCGGUAAUACGGAGGGUGCAAGCGUUGUUCGGAUUUACUGGGCGUAAAGGGCGCGUAGGCGGUUUUAUAAGCCAGAUGUGAAAGCCCACGGCUCAACCGUGGAAGUGCAUCUGGAACUGUAAGACUUGAGUAUGGGAGAGGAAAGUGGAAUUCCCGGUGUAGAGGUGAAAUUCGUAGAUAUCGGGAGGAAUACCGGUGGCGAAGGCGACUUUCUGGACCAAUACUGACGCUGAGGCGCGAAAGCGUGGGUAGCAAACAGGAUUAGAUACCCUGGUAGUCCACAGCUGUAAACGAUGAUAACUAGGUAUAGGGGGGUGUUGACCCCUUCUGUGCCGUAGCUAACGCAUUA